CCUACGGGAGGCAGCAGUGGGGAAUAUUGCACAAUGGGGGAAACCCUGAUGCAGCGACGCCGCGUGGGGGAAGAAGGGUUUCGGAUUGUAAAGCCCUUUUAGCAGGGAAGAAAAUGACGGUAUCUAAAGAAUAAGCACCGGCUAACUCCGUGCCAGCAGCCGCGGUAAUACGUAGGGGGCAAGCGUUAGUCGGAAUCACUGGGCGUAAAGGGAGCGUAGGCGGUAUUGCAAGUCAGGUGUGAAAGCCCAGGGCUUAACCCUAGAACUGCUUUUGAAACUGUGAAUCUGGAGUUUGGGAGAGGUAGGUGGAAUUCUUGGUGUAGGGGUGAAAUGCGUAGAUAUCAAGAGGAACACUCGUGGCGAAGGCGACCUGCUGGACCAUAACUGACGCUGAGGCGCGAAAGCGUGGGGAGCAAACAGGAUUAGAUACCCUAGUAGUC
rnacentral:rRNA from 1 species